CUACGGGCCGCUGCAGUGGGGAAUAUUGCACAAUGGGCGCAAGCCUGAUGCAGCCAUGCCGCGUGUAUGAAGGAGGCCUUCGGGUUGUAAAGUACUUUCAGCGGGGAGGAAGGGAGUAAAGUUAAUACCUUUGCUCAUUGACGUUACCCGCAGAAGAAGCACCGGCUAACUCCGUGCCAGCAGCCGCGGUAAUACGGAGGGUGCAAGCGUUAAUCGGAAUUACUGGGCGUAAAGCGCACGCAGGCGGUUUGUUAAGUCAGAUGUGAAAUCCCCGGGCUCAACCUGGGAACUGCAUCUGAUACUGGCAAGCUUGAGUCUCGUAGAGGGGGGUAGAAUUCCAGGUGUAGCGGUGAAAUGCGUAGAGAUCUGGAGGAAUACCGGUGGCGAAGGCGGCCCCCUGGACGAAGGCUGACGCUCAGGUGCGAAAGCGUGGGGAGCAAACAGGAUUAGAUACCCGUGUAGUC
rnacentral:rRNA from 1 species